rnacentral:tRNA from 1 species
GCGCGGUCUGGGCGGUGAAGCGCCGCGUGAUCCGGUCUCGCUGAUGGGGCUCGAAUUCCCCAAUCGCGUC